AUUGAACGCUAGCGGGAUGCUUUACACAUGCAAGUCGAACGGCAGCGCGGACUUCGGUCUGGCGGCGAGUGGCGAACGGGUGAGUAAUGUAUCGGAACGUGCCCAGUAGCGGGGGAUAACUACGCGAAAGCGUAGCUAAUACCGCAUACGCCCUACGGGGGAAAGCAGGGGAUCGUAAGACCUUGCACUAUUGGAGCGGCCGAUAUCGGAGUAGCUAGUUGGUGAGGUAACGGCUCACCAAGGCGACGAUCCGUAGCUGGUUUGAGAGGACGACCAGCCACACUGGGACUGGGACACGGCCCAGACUCCUACGGGAGGCAGCAGUGGGGAAUUUUGGACAAUGGGGGCAACCCUGAUCCAGCCAUCCCGCGUGUGCGAUGAAGGCCUUCGGGUUGUAAAGCACUUUUGGCAGGAAAGAAACGUCGCGGGCUAAUACCCCGUGGAACUGACGGUACCUGCAGAAUAAGCACCGGCUAACUACGUG
rnacentral:rRNA from 1 species